CCUACGGGAGGCAGCAGUGAGGAAUAUUGGUCAAUGGACGAGAGUCUGAACCAGCCAAGUAGCGUGAAGGAUGACUGCCCUAUGGGUUGUAAACUUCUUUUAUAUGGGAAUAAAAUGUUCCACGUGUGGGCUUUUGUAUGUACCAUAUGAAUAAGGAUCGGCUAACUCCGUGCCAGCAGCCGCGGUAAUACGGAGGAUCCGAGCGUUAUCCGGAUUUAUUGGGUUUAAAGGGAGCGUAGGUGGAUUGUUAAGUCAUUUGUGAAAGUUUGCGGCUCAACCGUAAAAUUGCAGUUGAAACUGGCAGUCUUGAGUACAGUAGAGGUGGGCGGAAUUCGUGGUGUAGCGGUGAAAUGCUUAGAUAUCACGAAGAACUCCGAUUGCGAAGGCAGCUCACUGGACUGCAACUGACACUGAGGCUCGAAAGUGUGGGUAUCAAACAGGAUUAUAUACCCUGGUAGUC
rnacentral:rRNA from 1 species